GGAAGUGGUAGCUCAGUGGUUAAGACUUUGGCCUCGUAAUCGGAAGGUCAUAAGUUCAAUCCCCAGCACUGCCA